rnacentral:rRNA from 1 species
GAUGAACGCUGGCGGCGUGCCUAAUACAUGCAAGUCGAGCGAACAGACGAGUAUCUUGCUCCUCUGACGUUAGCGGCGGACGUGUGAGUAACACGUGGAUAACCUACCUAUAAGACUUGGCUAACUUCGGGAAACCGGAGCUAAUACCUGCUAAUAUAUUGAACCGCAUGGUUCAAUCGUGAAAGCAGGUUUUGCUGUCACUUAUAGAUUGAUCCGCGCCCCACUCGCUAUUUUGUAAUGGAACGGCUUAACAAGGCAACGAUGCGGAGCCGACCUGAGAGCGAGAACGACUACACUGGCACUGAGAAACGGUCGCGACUCCUACGCGAGGCAGCAGUCGGGACUCUUACGCAAUGGAGGAAAGCGUGACGGUGCAAAGUCGCGUGAGUGAUGAAGGUCUUAGGCUCGUAAAACUCUGUUAUUAGGGAAGAACAAAUGUGUAAGUAACUAUGAACGUAUUGACGGUACCUAAUCAGAAAGCCACGGCUAACUACGUG